rnacentral:rRNA from 1 species
GACGAACGCUGGCGGCGUGCAUAAUACAUGCAAGUAGGACGCAGUUGCGAACGUGUGAGUCACGCGUAGGUAACUACCUAUUAGCGGGGGAUAACUAUUGGAAACGAUAGCUAAUACCGCCUACUAGCAGGUGGAUCUUCGUUGUAUUAGCUAGUAGGUAGGGUAAUGGCCUACCUAGGCAACGAUAGAUUGUCAACCUGGGAGGGUGAUCGGCCAAACGGGGAAUGAGAAACGGGCCAGACUCCUACGGGAGGGAGCCGUAGGGAAGUUUCGUAAAUGGGGAGAACCCUGACCGAACCAAGCCGCGUGAGUGAAGAAGGUUUUCUGAUGUGAAAGCUCUGUUGUUAAGGAAGCGGUACUUAACCAGAAAGGGACGGCUAACUACGUGCCAGCAGCCGCGGUAAUAC